rnacentral:rRNA from 1 species
GACGAACGCUGGCGGCGUGCUUAACACAUGCAAGUCGAACGGAAAGGCCCUGCUUUUGCGGGGUGCUCGAGUGGCGAACGGGUGAGUAACACGUGAGUAACCUGCCCUUGACUUUGGGAUAACUUCAGGAAACUGGGGCUAAUACCGGAUAGGAGCUCCUGCUGCAUGGUGGGGGUUGGAAAGUUUCGGCGGUUGGGGAUGGACUCGCGGCUUAUCAGCUUGUUGGUGGGGUAGUGGCUUACCAAGGCUUUGACGGGUAGCCGGCCUGAGAGGGUGACCGGCCACAUUGGGACUGAGAUACGGCCCAGACUCCUACGGGAGGCAGCAGUGGGGAAUAUUGCACGAUGGGCGGAAGCCUGAUGCAGCAACGCCGCGUGCGGGAUGACGGCCUUCGGGUUGUAAACCGCUUUCGCCUGUGACGAAGCGUGAGUGACGGUAAUGGGUAAAGAAGCACCGGCUAACUACGUG